rnacentral:rRNA from 1 species
CGAAACAUGACGAUCUGAUCAGCAUGCCGCGUGAGUGAAGAAGGCCUUCGGGUUGUAAAGCUCUUUUGUCAGGGAAGAACCGGUGAGGGCUAAUAUCCGUCGCUAAUGACGGUACCUGAAGAAUAACCACCGGCUAACUACGUGCCCCAGGCGCGGUUUA